UGUGUGUCUUCUCCCUUAAGUAAACCCAGCUGCCAGAAUACACUGGUGGAGUUAUGUUAUUAACUAGGAGUAGCCAGCUGCCUACUGGUUAUCCACAUGAAGGAAUGCUGUUUGGUUAUUUCCCUCUGACUGAUACUGAAACUAAAAUGGGGAAGGACUCCAAGUACAACACAUCAUGUAGAGGGGUGGGGGUACCCUUGCGGGAUCACACUGAGAACCUGCCAAGAACACACUGAAAUCAUUAUUCUGACAGAUCAUGGAUACUUUCUCCCCCAAAGCCAGUGGCCACGUCUGCUGGGCACUCACUGUGGUCAGGCUGAGUUGGCUUCUGUAACAUGGGGCUACAUCAGGAGUCCAAGGACCACUUCCACUGGAAAAGCAAAGUCAUUUGUCCACAUAACAGAAACUUUGGAAAAGUUGGGCGACAAGGACCCUGCCUAUACAGACAUUCUCCCAGGAGGUCUUCUGUAGGAGCGAAUGUUACAAAAUGGCUGCACAAGACCUGUGUUUUGUUUGGUCUGAACUUUUCAUGAAUUGUUUGUUUUAAUUUAUGACAGGCUUGUCGUUAGUGGGAGGAAGCAUGCCGGGUUGCCAAAGCACCAGAAGCAGACUGAUGUGACUUGGGAGCCAAGGAAAAGAAACACACACACAGCCUCUGCAGCCUCUGAAGAACCCAACUGGAGACAUGAGGAAAACAGAAGGUGUGAAAGGCUCACAUACCAUCCUCUCGCUCACAGAUGUGCCACUACCAGGCAGUCAGCAGACAUGUGGCAGGCAUCAGCAAGGAACUGAACCAACCCUGGCUGGAGGCUUUAGGUAUACAAAUGGAGAACCUAAGACAACAUCUGGAACAGAAUGAGACUGGCAAAAUAUUAGGACCUUCUCAACAAAAGAUUCCAUUGUGGGGUCACAGGAC